rfam:Fukomys damarensis contig118508, whole genome shotgun sequence.
GAGAAUACUCUUCAGGCAUGACAUUCAUGAAUUCACACUCUUAGAAGCUUUCUAGGUCAUGCUGAAGCCCAGCGGGGCUAAAAACCUUAAGAGACUCUUUCCUGAGCAUGAAGCCGGCUCUUGGUGUUGCUUUGCUGCAACGGCCACUUGCCAUUGAUGGUCAUUCUUGCUUCUCUUUCUGGAGGGAGUGAAGGGGAAGGAACACAGUCUGAGUGGU